UCUCUAGGAUCCUCUUUAUGCCGGAUAUCUUCUCAUCCUUCAUCUGCCGCCGCGACCUCUAAUCUCCUCUAAUUUCUUCUUCUGCCGCCGCGACCCAUCAUUAUCCGACUCGAUCUUCAAUUAGGACUUGGAGGCUCUGUGGAUUCUUCUGGAAAGAGAUGCGGAUCUCAUCCAUCAGACUACUGUCAACGAUCGCCACUCCGCUCUUCAUAUAGCUGCUGCCAAUGUCCAGAUCGAGACUCCAUUGAUGUUGGCUGCAAUGAACGGGAAGAUAUCUUGUGCAGAAAAGCUUAUUGAAGCUGGAGCUAAUAUUUUGAUGUUUGACUCGAUUAAUAAAAGGACAUGCCUACACUAUGCUGCUUACUAUGAUCAUUCUGAUUGUCUUCAAGUCAUUCUUUCAACCGCUAGUACAUUCGAUGUUGCUGUAUCUUGAGGGAAUUGGGUGUGAUAUGGGAUGUGGAUUUAUACGGAGAAUUUCUCAAGAUUGGGGGUGGAAAAGAAAGGAUGACAACACGUACUUUAACAAAAUUAGUUGGCCAGAUAAGCUCCUAAGGAUGAAACUAAAAGAAAGGAAUUUAUUCCUUAUCUUCACAAGAGGAAGACCGAACUGUUCAUGGUCUUUAUUGAGAAGAAGUUGUUGCCUCUUUGGCCAGGUGUUGCAAAUUGCAUUGUCCAAGUUGGUUGACCAGGCUCUUACUAAAGGAGUAAAAGGGGCUGUGUCCAGUACAUCCAAUGAGAAGGCGGUCUCUGUAAUAGUUUCAUUUCUAUUAGGACCAGAAAGAGCAGAGAAAAUCCAAAUAUUUGUUGGGAUGUGGUGCCUCGCAAGAAGCCUGAUCCAGAAAUAUCUUUUUUACCUUUGUGAUUCAACUAGAGACAAAUUUGAAAAUAACAAUAGCUUAAGAUUUAAUAGUAUGCAUCUUUUUUCAUGAAGAUUGAGGAAAACUUCUUUUAUUCUAACCUCAAAUAGUUUCCCUUUGAAAUCAAUGACAGGCAAAUUUCAAACAAAGCAUACAAAUUUGCGUAUGUUAGACAAGAUGAUUUGUUCUUCUUACAGCUGACUGUUCGAGAAACGUUGUCUCUUACAGCUGAGCUCCAACUUCGGGAGAUAAUAUCUAUUGAAAAGAGGGAUGAAUAUGUCAAUAAUCUUUUGUUUAAACUCGGUUUGGUCAGUUGUGCCGAUUUCUGUAUUGGGGAUGCAAAAGUGCGGGGAAUUAGUGAUGGUGAAAAGAAACGUUUAUCAAUGGCAUGCGAAAUGAUUGCAGCCCAUCUGCCAUUUUUGCUGAUGAGCCUACAACAGAAAGGCAGGACUCCUUUAAUUCCCAGUUGUAAUUUUUGUUGAUUGAUAAGGGAGUUGUCGAGACAACUUCCACUUUAUGCGAAAUUGAAUCUACUUAAAGUAUUCAUCCUCAAGUUGUCAUCUGCAAGAAGUAAAAAUGUGGACACAACAACCAGCGGAGACCCAAAUAGAAGAUCAAGUAGAUAAAAAUUAUCUAUUUUCAGUCUUCUAUUUUAGUUUUGUUGUUCAAAACUAUUUUGUUUGUUAUAGAUCUUUUUGACUAUUAUACGAUUAAAUUAGAUAUUUGAUUAAAUGAG